rnacentral:rRNA from 1 species
GUGAUCCGGUGGUUCUGAAUGGAAGGGCCAUCGCUCAACGGAUAAAAGGUACUCCGGGGAUAACAGGCUGAUACCGCCCAAGAGUUCAUAUCGACGGCGGUGUUUGGCACCUCGAUGUCGGCUCAUCACAUCCUGGGGCUGAAGUCGGUCCCAAGGGUAUGGCUGUUCGCCAUUUAAAGUGGUACGCGAGCUGGGUUUAGAACGUCGUGAGACAGUUCGGUCCCUAUCUGCCGUGGGCGUUGGAAGAUUGAAGGGGGCUGCUCCUAGUACGAGAGGACCGGAGUGGACGAACCUCUGGUGUUCGGGUUGUGUCGCCAGACGCAUUGCCCGGUAGCUAAGUUCGGAAUCGAUAACCGCUGAAAGCAUCUAAGUGGGAAGCGAGCCCUGAGAUGAGUCUUCCCUGACCCCUUGAGGGUCCUAAAGGGUUGUUCGAGACUAGAACGUUGAUAGGCAGGGUGUGUAAGCGCUGUGAGGCAUUGAGCUAACCUGUACUAAUUGCCCGUGAGGCUUAACCAUACAACACCCAAAGGGUUUUG